UAGGUCCCAAGGGUUGGGCUGUUCGCCCAUUAAAGUGGUACGCGAGCUGGGUUCAGAACGUCGUGAGACAGUUCGGUCCCUAUCCGUCGCAGGCGUAGGAAAUUUGAGAAGACCUGUCCUUAGUACGGGAGGACCGGGAUGGACGUACCUCUGGUGUACCAGUUGUUCUGCCAAGGGCAUGGCUGGGUAGCUAUGUACGGAAUGGAUAAGCGCUGAAAGCAUCUAAGCGCGAAGCCAACUUCAAGAUAAGAUUUCCCACCG
rnacentral:rRNA from 1 species